GGCACCCGUGACCUGGGCCAAGCAGACAGGAAGGACGACACCACCCAGAGGCAAGGGUGUCAGUCAGGUGGCCCCUUGCCCUACAACUAGAUGUCUGGGUGGCCAAAUGGUAAAGUAGUAUACAGCCUGCCCUGUGUACUACAUGGAACCCAAACAGAUGCCUGCCUGCCAACUCCAGAAGGCUUCCUCCCAGAGCCCUCCACCCCUGCUAACUACCCAGCCUCCUCCGUGUCUGACCCUGAGGACCCCCCAAGUUCCACCUCAUGCUCCUUUCAGCACGUCUGUCUGCUUAUCCGGAGGAAAAACAGUGCCUGCAGAGCCAGCCAAGGAAAACAGAAACUGCACUGCCUGUUGCCACCCAAAAUAAAUAAAGUCGCUUUUAAAUGAACUCUCAGCUGGCCCCUUUGAGGGACACUGCCCAGGUUCCCUAGAGGCGCCAUUUGGAAACCGACCACUAGGUGGCGCCUGCUCACCAACCGCCUCUUGCCACGGGGGUCUUGCUUGGUUCCUAACCAAGGUGGCUCCAGACUUAGCAGGGCUUCAGGACAUGCCCUCCUCACUUCUUUCUUCAGCAUUUUCCCCUCCCCUUCCCUUGCCUUCCUUACAUUAGCUGACCUGCCUGGAAGGUGUCAGAGCCUCCUAGGUCAGUUCUUCUCAGCCAUCCUAACUCUGCACGUUGUUGUGAUCCACACCAUAGAAAUGAUUUUCAUCAACACUUUGUAACCAUAAUUUUGCUACUGUUAUGAAACAUAAUGUAAAGAUCUGUGCUUUCCAAUGGUCUUAGGUGGCCCCUGUGAAAAUGCCAC